ensembl:misc_RNA Vault Vault RNA
GGGCCGGCUUUAGCUCAGCGGUUACUUCGACAAUCCUUUCUAUGGUGGGAAACAACCACCGUGCGUGGUUCGAGACCCGCGGGCGCUCUCUGGCCCUUUU